rnacentral:rRNA from 1 species
CUGAACCAGCCAAGUAGCGUGAAGGAUGACUGCCCUAUGGGUUGUAAACUUCUUUUAUAAAGGAAUAAAGUCGGGUAUGCAUACCCGCUUUGCAUGUACUUUAUGAAUAAGGAUCGGCUAACUCCGUGCCAGCAGCCGCGGUAAUACGGAGGAUCCGAGCGUUAUCCGGAUUUAUUGGGUUUAAAGGGAGCGUAGAUGGAUGUUUAAGUCAGUUGUGAAAGUUUGCGG